UCCCAGGUGGCUCAGCGGUAAAGCGCCUGCCUGCCAAGCAGGAGAUGCAGGUUCGAUCCCUGAGUCAGGAA